rnacentral:antisense_RNA from 1 species
UCAUACGGCGGGCCGGGUGGGGAGACCUUCGGGUCUGCCGGGUCCUAGCUCCGGUUCGCCAACCCCACCGUCUGGCCCGCCACCCCG